CUGAGAACAACUUUGUGUUUACCUCCACAUAGUUAUUUUUUCAUGUCCACUUCAACUAUGGCACCAUAUGGAAUUGAUAUGUCAUGUGUUUUUCAUUUUUGCACACCUUACUUGAAGAGAGGUUAUAACUUAAACAAAUCUCAAUAUUGGCUUUACAGUCAACAAUGGGUCCUUUUUGUUGAAGGUGUUGGUUAUAUUCCUGUGUACCUCUUUAGCAGGUUCAGGUAGUCCAAAUUAAAUUAUUGUUGAAAUGGAUAAAAUACGGUGCCCGGUGAUAUGACGUUGUUUGUCAGUUUCUGCAUUGCCAAUAAAAAUUAGAACUGAGAAACCUUUGCUUCAUCUGUCGAUUGAACAGUUUGCCUAUCUCCUUUUGUGGACAGUGAAAAGGAUUCUCCUUUGGUUAAAGUUGGAGUCAGUUUGUUGAAACUGCAUAGACUUUUUUGAUUUUACAGUCCGUUCCUAGACUGUGCCAGUUAACCCAAAACCUUUCAAGAACAACCUGUCAGGGAAGCCUGUAGUUGUUAAACUCAUGUGGGGUAUGGAUUACAAAGGUAAUUUAUCUCCUUUUUUAUUCAUUUUGAACUGGAACGUUUUGUUUUCCAGAUAGUGCCCCUGCUCUUAAUCAAACUGAAAAUUUUUUAACAUAGAAGCACAUAUGUGGCGUGCCUUGUUAGUAUAGAAGUUUUGCAUAACAUGAUGCUUAUGCUCAUCUGUGCUACAGGCUGAAUUGUCUGGACAUGUUUUGUGCAAAGUACACAUAAUUUUUUUUUAGAAAAGGAGGUUUCCCCUGCUUUAUAUUUCAAAAGCAACACAAAAGUUCAAGCUCCAAGUUUUGGCGCGUCCGGCUUACAAGUUUGGCCUCAAGGCAAUAUCAUUGAAAGCAUAUGACAAGCUAAGUACACAUAAUGUAUGUCAGCUUGGUUCAGUAUAAUAGGGCAAGGCUGUCCAUCACAAGCAAAACAUGUGCAAAGUCUCAAAUUGUAGGAUAAGAAAAGCAAAUCUCCAUGCCGCCCUGGCUGACUUCUAUCUAGCACUUCACUCGCAUGCCAUCUCGCUGCUGGUCUCGGUUCAUGACACAAUGUAGACAUAUACUCCUGCUCUGGCACCAGAUUCUCCCAGUUAGCACUGUCGUCUGUCGAAGCCUUGCCACCACCGUCAAUAUCUCAGCGGAGAGGAAGACGUCUGGGAAUGCUCUUUUACUGAAGUACUUGUCCAGUUGAGCUCUGACUGGACUCAUCUACAAGGCUGUGAUCGGCCACGCACCCCAGAGCACUCACGGCCUUUGAGUGGUGAAAGUGUGUGCCCCCUCAUCUGCAAUUCUUUGGAUGGUUACUUCUCCAGCUGAGUAGGUAAUUACAGCGCAAAGCCACCCUUGACAAGAACAUUUGCAUUCAGAGGUUUAUCUGAAACAGAAGAUUAGCUCAUCUUCCAAUACAUCACGGAUCAACAGCUAUGGACAUCAAUUGGUGUGGACUGCUCACAAUUGCUGCUGGUUGCCGAGCUAUGGACAUUGACAAGGCCACAUCAGUGCUACAUUAAACAAGGAGCUAAUAAAUGGGCUAAUUUGUUAGCCUAAGUCUACAACAGUCGGUAGAUAACUAGUUAGCCAACCCCAAGUAAUUUAGCCUAAUUUUUAGCAAAGUGUUGUUAAGGAUUUAUGGUCAAAGUAACAGUAGCUCAUAACAUGAUGGUUCAUCUUGCUUCCUCUGGAUGGAUUUAUGGGGUGAUCAGGUUCUCAGUCAGAGAUUUCCAGAACUCUUCUCCUUUGCAAAGAACAAGCAGUUGACACUGGUAAUUGGAAGGACUCAAAACCCUCUUCACAGCCUGUUCUAUCUGCCACUCUCCCAGCAGGCCCAUUCUCAGAUGUUGCAUUUAGAAGAAAUACUGAGUCAGGAGCACUUCAGCCAGGAAAAGGACAAGUGGACCUAUAUUUGGAACUCUGGGAAAUUUUUAGUCAAAAAAACAUACAAACACCUCAAUGGGCAUCAGAGCAUUCACCCUGUUUACAAAUGGCUAUGGGCAUCCUCUUGUCAGGCCAAGCACAAGGUUUUCUUUUGGUUGUUGCUCAAAGAUAGACUGAGCACAAGAGAUUUAUUGCAAAGGAAAAACAUGCAUCUCCAAAGCGCUAACUGUGUUCUAUGCAAUUCUGCAGUACAGGAAACCCUGGUUCACCUUUUCUUGGAAUGUCCUUUCGCUAUACAAUGUUGGGGCUCAGUUCAGGUGCAGAUAGACUUAACCUUGGACCACUAUCAAAACCUCCAAAGUUUCAGGGAUCAAUUGAGAGUGCCUUUCUUCAUGGAGAUCAUCAUCCUGAUGGCUUGGGCCAUCUGGAAAGCAAGGAAUGAUUUAAUCUUCAGACAGAUCAAUCCCUCUCUGCAGUCUUGUACUCAGUUCUUCAAGUCCGAGAUGAAGCUUCUGCUGCUUAGAGCAAAGAGAAGUUACUCCCCUGCCAUUGAUCUAUGGAUAGCAGAACUCUAGUAGCUUGGUUAAGAGCAGUCCUUCAACUGCUUUUUUUUAAUUCCUUUUUUGUAUCCUGAAUCCCCCUCCCCCCUUGUUUUUUUUUUUGGAUCUGAACCGGCCUUUGGCCUUUUUAAAAUGCUGUAGGGGUGUAAACCCCUGCAGAGCCUUCAAAAAAAAAAA